CACAAAGUAACUGCUAAUUCUUUUUAAUCAUGGUUCAAAUCCAUGGCUCACUUAGCUCUUGAAAGAUAA
rnacentral:tRNA from 1 species